rnacentral:rRNA from 1 species
UACGUAGGGGGCUAGCGUUGUCCGGAAUCAUUGGGCGUAAAGAGCGUGUAGGCGGCCCGGUAAGUCCGCUGUAAAAGUCAAAGGCUCAACCUUUGAAUGUCAGUGGAUACUGCCGGGCUAGAGUCCGGAAGAGGCGAGUGGAACUCCUGGUGUAGCGGUGGAAUGCGCAGAUAUCAGGAAGAACACCAACGGCGAAGGCAGCUCGCUGGGACGGUACCGACGCUGAGACGCGAAAGCGUGGGAGCGAACAGG